AUGAAGGGCAUGUUAAGCUCUCUUUAUAUCAAUGUCCUUUUCUGUAUAACUAAUGUUCUUAAUAUUUUUCUAAUUUUUAUUCAGAAGAAGAGCACGCAGAACAAGACAAAUAGACCGAAAUGUUCCUUGCCACCAUAUAUUGGAACCAAAAGUUAUGCAAGACUUAGAUACGAAAUGGUUCAAUCCGACCAAUUUAAAAAGCAGCAAAAAGAAGGAGAAAUUUCUUUAAAUGAUGACGAUAUCUUUAAAAAAGUACUUGGGGCUGAAAAAAUGGAUAUCUUCGUGCAUAUGGACCCGGAAAAAAUAUCAACGAAUAUUUUGGUGGUAGACCAACAAAAGUACAACUUAGAAAGCAACUAGAAUUGACCAGAAAAGAAGCAAAUGAGCGCGUGGAAGAAGUUAAAAGGGAAGCUAAGGAAAAAGUUAAAGAAAUCAAGAAAGAAAUGAAUAGUGAGCUAUCAGAAAUGAGUAAACAAUGGGAAGAAAAAUUGCAAAUGAUACUUGCAGCACAAGGUCUACAACAAAAUAAUACAUCUAACCCUUGUGGAGGAGUUAUAAAAGCAUCAAGGUCGACCGGCACAUGGAUAAUUAUUUUUCUCUUGUCAAAGCUUAU